rnacentral:ncRNA from 1 species
UCAACGGGAAUGAAGUUCUCCCGAAUGCGAAAGCAUUGAACCGCUUUUCAAAGCUGAUGACUUCUGCAA